AUUCUGCCCAUGCGGGGAAGGAUGAGAAGCUUCGACCAAGGUUCGACUCGAGCGCCAGCGAGAGAGCGUUGCCGCAGGCAACGACCCGUAGGGCGAAGCGCGCAGCGCUGAGUAAUCCUUCCCCCACCACCA
rnacentral:sRNA from 7 species